CUCACUCGCGCGUUAGGAGGCUCGGGUCGUUGUGGUGCGCCGUCUUCCCGCUUGCGUCAGGGACCUGCCCGACUCAGUGGAAGCGGGGAGAGGUGGUGAGAGAUGACCCCUGUUGAGGAUUUCAUUGGUGUCUGCCACAGGCCACCAUGGCAUCAGAUGAAGGCAAGCUUUUUGUUGGAGGGCUGAGUUUUGACACCAAUGAGCAGUCGCUGGAGCAGGUCUUCUCAAAGUACGGACAGAUCUCUGAAGUGGUGGUUGUGAAAGACAGGGAGACCCAGAGAUCUCGGGGAUUUGGGUUUGUCACCUUUGAGAACAUUGACGACGCUAAGGAUGCCAUGAUGGCCAUGAAUGGGAAGGUGAGGAUCAGGGUGCUGAGCGGGAGUCCCGUCCUGAGGAUGGGGCACCCACCCGCUAACCUGUUCUGCCCUCUGGUCUCCAGUCUGUAGAUGGACGGCAGAUCCGAGUAGACCAGGCAGGCAAGUCGUCAGACAACCGAUCCCGUGGGUACCGUGGUGGCUCGGCCGGGGGCCGGGGCUUCUUCCGCGGGGGUCGAGGACGGGGCCGUGGGUUCUCUAGAGGAGGAGGGGACCGAGGCUAUGGGGGGAACCGGUUCGAGUCCAGGAGUGGGGGCUACGGAGGCUCCAGAGACUACUAUAGCAGCCGGAGUCAGAGUGGUGGCUACAGUGACCGGAGCUCGGGCGGGUCCUAUAGAGACAGUUACGACAGUUACGGUAAGUCCCACUCCGAGGGCGCCACGCUGCUGUGGCGUGCGGUGGGAGCUCGGUUCACCUUGGUGCCCUCUCCAAGCACUUUAGGCUGGACACUCAGACCUUGUCACUGUGCUUGCCUAUAAGAGGCGCAUCUGUCCUCUCAGAGCCAUUUCUAUCGCAGGACGCAAAAGCCAAAUGAGACUGACCAAAAAGGCAAGGGAGAGCGAGGGCCCGCUGGGCAGUCAGCUAGGUGCAUGUGUGGCCGCAGGCCAGCCUCCCUCGGCUGUGGGGGGUGGUUGCUCCCCGGCCGCAGGCCGCGCCCUGAUCUGGCCUCUGGGGUGAAGCUGCCUCUCGUUGCUUCGGUGCCUUUACACUGUGCCUGCUUCUUGUUCUCAGCUACACACAACGAGUAAAAACCCUUCCUGCUCAAGAUCGUCCUUCCAAUGGCUGUGUGUUUAAAGAUUGUGGGAGCUUCGCUGAACGUUAAUGUGUAGUAAACGCACCUCCUUGUAUUCCCACUUUCGUAGUCAUUUCGGUUCUGAUCUUGUCAAACCCAGCCUGACCGCUUCUGACGCCGGGAUGGCCUCGUUACUAGACUUUUGUUUUUAAGGAAGUGCUGUCUUUUUUUUAAGGGUUUUCAAAACAUUUUGAAAAGCAUUUACUUUUUUGACCACGAGCCAUGAGUUUUCAAAAAAAUCGGGGGUUGUGUGGGUUUUUGGUUUUUGUUUUAGUUUCUGGUUGCGUUGCC
rnacentral:sRNA from 1 species